GGUUAUGGCUCAGCGGUACAGUGCUUGCCUGGCACGUGUGAGGCUCUGGGUUCGAUUCUCAGCACCA
rnacentral:tRNA from 1 species